UACGUAGGGGGCUAGCGUUGUCCGGAAUCAUUGGGCGUAAAGAGCGUGUAGGCGGCCCGAUAAGUCCGCCGUGAAAGUCCAGGGCUCAACCCUGGGAUGCCGGUGGAAACUGUCGGGCUAGAGUCCGGAAGAGGCGAGUGGAAUUCCUGGUGUAGCGGUGAAAUGCGCAGAUAUCAGGAGGAACACCGGUGGCGAAGGCGGAUCUCUGGGCCUUACCUGACGCUGAGGCGCGAAAGCUAGGGGAGCGAACAGG
rnacentral:rRNA from 1 species